rnacentral:rRNA from 1 species
UACGUAGGGUGCAAGCGUUGUCCGGAAUUAUUGGGCGUAAAGAGCUCGUAGGCGGUCUGUUGCGUCGGCUGUGAAAACCCGGGGCUCAACCCCGGGCCUGCAGCCGAUACGGGCAGACUAGAGUUCGGCAGGGGAGACUGGAAUUCCUGGUGUAGCGGUGGAAUGCGCAGAUAUCAGGAGGAACACCGAUGGCGAAGGCGGGUCUCUGGGCCGAUACUGACGCUGAGGAGCGAAAGCGUGGGGGAGCGAACAGG